AUUGAACGCUGGCGGCAGGCCUAACACAUGCAAGUCGAGCGGAUGAAGGGAGCUUGCUCCUGGAUUCAGCGGCGGACGGGUGAGUAAUGCCUAGGAAUCUGCCUGGUAGUGGGGGAUAACGUCCGGAAACGGGCGCUAAUACCGCAUACGUCCUGAGGGAGAAAGUGGGGGAUCUUCGUACCUCACGCUAUCAGAUGAGCCUAGGUCGGAUUAGCUAGUUGGUGGGGUAAAGGCCUACCAAGGCGACGAUCCGUAACUGGUCUGAGAGGAUGAUCAGUCACACUGGAACUGAGACACGGUCCAGACUCCUACGGGAGGCAGCAGUGGGGAAUAUUGGACAAAGGGCGAAAGCCUGAUCCAGCCAUGCCGCGUGUGUGAAGAAGGUCUUCGGAUUGUAAAGCACUUUAAGUUGGGAGGAAGGGCAGUAAGUUAAUACCUUGCUGUUUUGACGUUACCAACAGAAUAAGCACCGGCUAACUUCGUG
rnacentral:rRNA from 1 species